rnacentral:rRNA from 1 species
UUUCCUACGGGACGCAGCAGUGAGGAAUAUUGGUCAAUGGGAGAGAUCCUGAACCAGCCAAGCCGCGUGAGGGAAGACGGCCCUAUGGGUUGUAAACCUCUUUUGUCGGAGAACAAAACCCGGGACGUGUCCCGGACUGCGUGUAUCCGAAGAAAAAGCAUCGGCUAACUCCGUGCCAGCAGCCGCGGUAAUACGGAGGAUGCGAGCGUUAUCCGGAUUUAUUGGGUUUAAAGGGUGCGUAGGCGGUCCGUUAAGUCAGUGGUAAAAUUGCGGGGCUCAACCCCGCCGGGCCGUUAAAACUGGCU